rnacentral:misc_RNA from 1 species
AACCAUAGAAACCUGCGGAGUACCUGCGGAGGGAUCAUUACUUUCAGUACUUUGGAGGCUGUCAGUCUAUAUCACUAUAGCAAGCCUCCGUCUGAAACCCUUGUCUUUUGCGUACCUUAUGUUUCCUCGGCGGGCUCGCCCGCCGGUUGGACAACCUUAAAACCUUUUUAAUUUUCAAUCAGCGUCUGAAAAAACUUAAUAAUUACAACUUUUAACAACGGAUCUCAGAUCGGAAGAGCA